CACCGCUCCCGGAAGCUCGGUGAACACGUAGUACAUCACGCUCUGGCCCGCCAUGAAGUGCUGCUCCGCCGUCUCCAGGAAGCGCUCCAGCUUGAGAGAGGCUGUGCAACUCACCCACAGCAGCCGCGAUCUGGGCCUCCUCCUAUGUUCCCCUGUUCAGACCCCUGCUCCAUGAACUGGGCGGACCCAUGUCCACUAAAGUGCUGAGGAAGUGACAGCGUGUGAUUUCUGAGGCUAGAUCAUAAAGGGCACAGCAGUUCUCACCUCACUCUUCUGCCUGGGUUACUGCAGAGUAAGCCAGCUACCAGUAAGCCACCCCAGCAACCCUUUGGAGAGGCAUGCGUGGAGAGCAGCCAAGGCCCUGGUGGUCCCCGGCCUCCUUGCCGUGUGAGUGAACCGUGCUGGAAGUGGGUUUUCUGGCUCCAGACCUCAGACACUGCAGCCUGUAUGGCGUCUUCCCUGAGACCUCAUAUGACCUCAAACUCAUACACUGGGUCUGUGGAAGGGAGCAGAUAACCUCUCUGUUUCUAGUUCUUAGACUAAGAGGAACUGGACACCAGGAGCCUCAUACCAGGACUGCCCAGCCGAGCCACUCGAUUCCUGACCCACAUGGCCCUUGAGAUGACAAGUGAUUGCUGCUUAAAGUCACUGAGUUCUGGAAUAAUUUACAUCAUGGCAAUAGAAAAUGUAGAGAGGGGACAGCCUAUGUAAGAGCAUACAAGGCCAGAGAUUCAGGCUGGAGGAAAAAGAUGUCUAUUCUUCCCUGUGUGCAUGGACGAGCCUGGAAACAGAUCUUGGGUGGGCUGAGAAGCAGAGCUCAUGUGAUGAAGAGUGCCUGGAAAGGGCAGGUGCCAAAAGAGCACCACUCCCCAUCUGCCCGACCUUCUGCGAAACAAGCCCGCCCUUGAAGGAGAGAAAACGCUCUUCUAAAAAUGGAAGAAAAGACACAGAACAGCUUGUCCCUUUCCAUCCAAUUAAAAACCUCGUGAGACUGAACUAGAUUAAAAACAAAACUCUCCAGCGAAGCCGCAGGCGCCUCCAAGAUAGGGAGUCCACCACCAAUAAAGUACGGCAGAUGCCAGCA
rnacentral:lncRNA from 1 species